rnacentral:rRNA from 1 species
CAAAGCCGCGAGGUGGAGCGAAUCUCCAAAAAUUGUCCCAGUUCAGAUUGCAGGCUGCAACUCGCCUGCAUGAAGUCGGAAUUGCUAGUAAUCGUGGAUCAGCAUGCCACGGUGAAUACGUUCCCGGGCCUUGUACACACCGCCCGUCACACCAUGGGAGUCGGUAACACCCGAAGCCUGUAGUCUAACCGCAAGGAGGACGCAGUCGAAGGUGGGAUUGAUGACUGGGGUGAAGUCGUAACAAGGUAUC